GGGGGGCAGCAGUGGGGAAUAUUGGACAAUGGGGGCAACCCUGAUCCAGCCAUGCCGCGUGAGUGAUGAAGGCCUUAGGGUUGUAAAGCUCUUUCACCGGUGAAGAUAAUGACGGUAACCGGAGAAGAAGCCCCGGCUAACUUCGUGCCAGCAGCCGCGGUAAUACGAAGGGGGCUAGCGUUGUUCGGAUUUACUGGGCGUAAAGCGCACGUAGGCGGAUAUUUAAGUCAGAGGUGAAAUCCCAGGGCUCAACCCUGGAACUGCCUUUGAUACUGGGUAUCUUGAGUAUGGAAGAGGUGAGUGGAAUUCCGAGUGUAGAGGUGAAAUUCGUAGAUAUUCGGAGGAACACCAGUGGCGAAGGCGGCUCACUGGUCCAUUACUGACGCUGAGGUGCGAAAGCGUGGGGAGCAAACAGGAUUAGAUACCCCUG
rnacentral:rRNA from 1 species